GUGGGGAAUAUUGCACAAUGGGGGAAACCCUGAUGCAGCGACGCCGCGUGAGUGAGGAAGUAUUUCGGUAUGUAAAGCUCUAUCAGCAGGGAAGAAAAUGACGGUACCUGACUAAGAAGCCCCGGCUAACUACGUGCCAGCAGCCGCGGUAAUACGUAGGGGGCAAGCGUUAUCCGGAUUUACUGGGUGUAAAGGGAGCGUAGACGGCUAAUCAAGUCAGAAGUGAAAACCCAGGGCUCAACUUUGGGACUGCUUUUGAAACUGAGUAGCUAGAGUGCAGGAGAGGUAAGCGGAAUUCCUAGUGUAGCGGUGAAAUGCGUAGAUAUUAGGAGGAACACCAGUGGCGAAGGCGGCUUACUGGACUGUAACUGACGUUGAGGCUCGAAAGCGUGGGGAGCAAACAGG
rnacentral:rRNA from 1 species